GCGGGGAUGGCAGAGCCAGGCCAAAUGCGAUGGACUCAAGAUCCAUUGGUGUAGACCUUCGUGGGUUCGAGUCCCACUCCCCGCACCA
rnacentral:tRNA from 1 species